AUGGCCGAACCGUGCAGUAGCAGCAGCAGUGACCUGAUCGCCUCAGACGAAGGACAGUUGGCUCAAUUGCUGGAUCAGGAUCAACAACAUCCAGCCGUCGACGACACCAACGACGACACUCUUCUAGCAAACAUGGAGGCCUGCUUCAAAGCAUUCGAUAAAGACAGUGACGGUUUGAUGACGUUGUCCGACUUUGCCGCCCUGUGUCGUACUCUAUUCCGCAAUGAGCAGGGCAAAGCUUACGCCAUCGAGGAAAGUCGGCUCCAGGAAAUGUUUGACGUCUUUGAUCGAAACCAAGACGGUUAUGUGGAUUUCCAAGAGUUUGCCUUCUGCUGGAAGCAUUGGAUCAAGCCCAUCGUUCGUCCCGUGAGCGCUUUGAUUAUCGUCGACGUUCAAAAUGAUUUCAUUACCGGAUCUCUGUCCAUAUCCCAAUGCCCAGCUCAGCAGAAUGGUCAAGACGUCCUAAAACCUACCAACAAAUUGCUGGAAACCGUACCGUUCGAAGUGGUUUUUUACUCCCUCGACUGGCAUCCCGACAACCACGUUUCGUUCAUCGAGAACGUUGGCAAACGUAAACUUCACUCAUCCAGCCAAAAAAAAGCGGAAGAAGCGGUAACGUACGACACGGUAGUCUUCGAAGGGCCUCCCUUGAACGAACAAAAACUAUGGCCGAAGCAUUGCGUGCAGAAUUCGUGGGGAGCUGAGCUCCAUCCAGCCAUGAAGAUACUGGAAAAUGGAAUACUAGUCCACAAAGGAGUUCAUCCGGAUAUCGAUUCCUAUUCAGCUUUCUGGGAUAACAACAAAAUGUCAAAAACGGACCUAGGUUCUUUGAUGCAAAAAAAGAAAAUUACAGACCUGUACGUUUGCGGACUCGCCUACGAUGUUUGCGUCGGCGCGACAGCUAGGGAUUCUCUAGAACAUGGCUACAGGACGAUCCUAAUAGAUGACGCCAGCCGGGGAAUAUCUGUCGACGACAUUCUCCACACUCGUGACAUCAUAACCGAGAAGAAUGGUCUUGUCGUUCACUCAUCACAGGUGAAGGAUAUGGUUGAGGGUCGUGACCGAAGGCCGGAACUUGGUUAUUUUCAAGCUAUGCGUCUACGUCAGAUGCUGCCACAGAAUGGCGGAAUAAGAGAUCCCAGUCCAGAUGACAAUGCCUCACCUCGCGAUUCCGUCAUCUUUCUGACUUAGCCAGCUCCAAUGCAAAAACAAUUCCUGAAUGCUGGUUUUAUACCAUAAAUAAGUUACAUGCAAUCUGGUUCAUUUUCUUUGGUAUCACGUUGGGGGUAAAGUCUGCAGUCUGACACCAUUCCGAUCCGGUAAAAAUGUUGAUAGAAUGUUUAUCAAUAUUCCCUACCAAGCUGUAGCCUGUGGGUAAUACGUUUAGUCAUGAAUCAAUUCCACUGAAUUCAGGUUUUGAUAUAUCUUUCGCACGUGGUUUUGGGUGUUGCAUAAUACAGUUUACUUGAACAGUU
rnacentral:misc_RNA from 1 species